AUGAAGUCAAGAAGCAUCUUCCUGCUGGGGCUCCUCACCCUGUGGGCAGAACUGCAGGCUGCACCCACAAAAGGAGUCACGUGCAAGUGUUUGCCCAAAUGCAGAGAUGACAGGGACUGUCCGGCUGAGCACAUGUGCAGCAGCUCCCAAGGAAGACUCAUCUGCAAACCUGUUACUGUUGGCGGGAUCCCAGGAGCAGCCUCUCCUGUCCCUGCUGGUGGUGCAGAGAGACCACAGGAAGAGAUGCCAGCAAGCGCUUUGCCGGGGGAAAGCCCUUCGUUAAGGGAAAAACCCGUCUCUGUUUCAAGCCCUGAGUCCAGCACAGUCACCCCAGCCAAGAAGCCAGGGUCAGGUGAACAUCUGGUGUCUAAAGAGAAGCUCCCACCUGGGGAAAAGCUGGUUACUUCUGUGACACCUGCAACAGAGGAGAAACUGUCUGGGGUGAAGCCCACAUCAGGGAACAAACCCACACUGGUUGAGAGACCGGAGACUGGGGGGAAGCCAGAGACUGAGGGGAAGCCAGCAUCCGAGGGAAAGCCAGAGUCGGGAGAGAAGACAGAGUCUGACCAGGGUGACAGUGGAGAGGAUGAUGACAACGAUGAUGACGACGAUGAUGAUGGUGGUGAUGAUGAUGAUGAGAAAAAUCAACACAACACUUAUGAUUAUGAUGAUGAUGAUAACAACAACUAUGACUAUGGGGAUGAUGAUGACGGUGACGAUGAUGAUGAUGAUGACGGUGACGAUGAUGCUGAUGGUGGUGAUGACGGUGACGAUGAUGGUGACAACAGUGAUGACAAUGGCAGUGAUGGCGAUGAUGCCUGGUGACCAAUGGCCAUGGGCUGUGUGUGGGGUGAGGAAAGCCUGCGGCAGGUGGGCGUGUGGGGCAGGCCAGCGGUUUGGGACAGCUGCCCUCGGCCCUCCUGCUCUGCCUCCUCCCUCUGCCUCGCUCUGCCAGGGCUGGUCCCAGGCACCAAAGUCAUUUUGGGCAGGACCUUCUCUCUCUCUUAAUAAAUCCCCUGUUGGGCUCUUCA
rnacentral:lncRNA from 1 species